CCCUGACAGAUCGUGUUUUCCGUCCUCCUUCUCUCAGUCUCUCACAUCUAGCAGUGGACUAAUUCAGCAGAGUGCAGAUCUUUGACUGAGGACUGUGCAUGAUGUAUAUUCCAACCAGGAGGGCACCCACACAACAUCCAUUACCCCAAGGUUAAACACAGUUUAUCUGUAGGGUUGUCACCCUGAAGACAUCAGGGCGAGUCUUGGAUAUUUAGUUAAACGGUAG
ensembl:lncRNA